UACGUAGGGUGCGAGCGUUAAUCGGAAUUACUGGGCGUAAAGCGUGCGCAGGCGGUGAUGUAAGACAGGUGUGAAAUCCCCGGGCUUAACCUGGGAACUGCAUUUGUGACUGCAUCGCUGGAGUGCGGCAGAGGGGGAUGGAAUUCCGCGUGUAGCAGUGAAAUGCGUAGAUAUGCGGAGGAACACCGAUGGCGAAGGCAAUCCCCUGGGCCUGUACUGACGCUCAUGCACGAAAGCGUGGGGAGCAAACAGGAUAGAU
rnacentral:rRNA from 1 species